rnacentral:lncRNA from 1 species
CAGUCUGCUCCCAUGUACCAGUACCUGGAUAGGAAACUGUUCAAGGAAGCCUACCAGAUUGCUUGCUUGGGUGUCACAGACACUGAUUGGCGUGCACUGGCCAUGGAAGCGCUAGGUUUAGAUUUUGAAACAGCAAAGAGAAGGCAGCUGAUUUUAUUAUUCCCCACAGGCUUUCAUCAGAGUACAAGACCUCAUCAGCAGCAUUGGAGAGGAAGAAGCGGGGAGAGACCAACAAUGACCUGUUUCUGGCAGAUGUGUUUUCCUACCAGGGAUCUGGAGACCCCAAAGAAACAAAGAUGCUAAUCACCAAACAGGCUGACUGGGCCAGAAAUAUGAAAGAGCCCAAAGUCACCGUGGGGAUGUAAAUCUCAGCAGGAGAGCACGUCAAGGCCAUUGAGAUCUGUGGUGGAGUUGGUGCCCUUGUGCUACCGCUGCUCCACCAACAACCCGCUGCUCAACAACCUGGGCAACGUCUGCAUCAACUGCCGCCAGCCCUUCAUCUUCUCCGCCUCUUCCU